ensembl:lncRNA
GCUCUUUCCUGCAUCCCACACAAAAGACCAACAGACGCCUUCGAGAAAUAUGUGUGUGUGUGUGUGUCCAGAUGCCAUGCAUGGGAUCAGUGAAUUCUCCAUCCAGAUGAUCCAUAUAGCAACCUGUCAUGGUAGCAGUGUACAGCAUGUUUAGAGGUAAACACAGCAUACAUGAAACCUAUGGCUAAAACAGAAUAGCUAGCUAUCCAAGACAUCUGUUAUGAUGCAAUAGGUCUCAGUUAAGAACACAUGAACCCACUGCACUCAAAUGUAAUGUUUUCAUUAAGUAGGAAGUAUGAAAAAUGCUUACAAACUAUGAAGUAUGUUUACUAAGUAUGAAGUUUGCUUACUAAAUAUGAAGUAUGAUCACGAAGUAGAAAGUACGCUUACUUGAAGUAUGCUUAUUGAAGAUUUUACUGUAUGUGUGCUGUAUUUUGCUCUAUUUACAGUAUGUUGUAUUUAGCUUUAUCUAUGUUUACUCAACAGAGUUGUAUCUAUGCUUUCAUGUACAAUGUGAGAUCUUUUGUACCAAACAGUCAGCAUCAACUGCCCCCACAAAUGGCCGCUGUAUUCUACUCAGGCAUUAACAGAGACGACUGCACAUUGAUGCUACUGUACAUGCGGAGUCAGCCAACAUUCCACACCCCAGCCAGGACCCGCCUGCUGCCCUUUUAUGGGUUGAAGCUGCAUGGUCGGGCAUCAUGGGUGCUGCAUUGUAUAUCAGAAAAAAACAUCUCUAGGUUAAUUUCUUAUGCUACUCAAAACCAAGAAAAAGUAGAAUGAUAGGAAGGUAGAUGGACUGGCUACUCAAAAGCUAGAAGUAUGUAAAAACAUAGGAUGAUUGAUGUAGGGAAGAACGAUACAGUACGAUAGAUUUGGGAAAGAGAGAAGGAUAGGAGGAUAGAUGGAGGCAAAGAGGACAAGAAAAUAGGUCAGGAGGAUAGAUGGAGGGAAGGAUAGGAGGAUAGAUGGAGGGAAGGUUAGGAGGAUAGAUGGAGGGAAGGUUAGGAGGAUAGAUGGAGGGAAGGUUAGGAGGAUAGAUGGAGGGAAGGAUAGGAGGAUAGAUGGAGGGAAGGAAGGUUAGGGAGAUAGAUGGAGGGAGGGAAGGUUAGGAGGAUAGAUGGAGGGACGAUCAAGAGGAUAGAUGGAGGGAAGGUUAGGAGGAUAGAUGGAGGGAAGGUUAGGAGGAUAGAUUGAGGGAAGGUUAGGAGGAUAGAUGGAGGGACGAUCAAGAGGAUAAAUGGAGGGAAGGUUAGGAGGAUAUAUUGAGGGAAGGUUAGGAGGAUAGAUGGAGGGAGGGAAGGUUAGGAGGAUAGAUGGAGGGAAAGUUAGGAGGAUAGAUGGAGGGACGAUCAAGAGGAUAGAUGGAGGGGAGGUUAGGAGGAUAGAUGGAGGGAGGGAAGGUUAGGAGGAUAGAUGGAGGGAAGGUUAGGAGGAUAGAUGGAGGGAGGGAAGGUUAGGAGGAUAGAUGGAGGGAUGAUCAAGAGGAUAGAUGGAGGGAAGGUUAGGAGGAUAGAUGGAGGGAAGGUCAGGAGGAUAGAUGAGGGAUGGUUAGGAGGAUAGAUUGAGGGAAGGUUAGGAGGAUAGAUUGAGGGAAGGUUAGGAGGAUAGAUGGAAGGAGGGAAGGUUAGGAGGAUAGAUGGAGGGACGAUCAAGAGGAUAGAUGGAGGGAAGGUUAGGAGGAUAGAUGGAGGGAAGGUCAAGUGGAUAGAUGGAGGGAAGGUCAAUAGGAUAGAUGGAGGGAAGGUCAAGUGGAUAGAUGGAGGGAAGGUCAAGAGGAUAGAUGGAGGGAAGGUCAAGAGGAUAGAUGGAGGGAAGGUCAAGAGGAUAGAUGGAGGGAAGUUUAAGAGGAUAGAAUGAUGGAUGAAAGGGAAAGAAGGAGGGAGGGAGAACAAGGUAAGGACAGACAACAAACAGCAUGACAAAAACAGCCUCCUGACAUGCUAGUAAAAGGAGAAGUGUGGCUUUGUUCCAGACUGUUGUGUGUGUGUGUGUUCUCUGGAGCAGAGCCCAGUGUUCUGACAUGUGUUUCUGUUUAUUAAUGAGUCUGGAGGCGCUGCCAAUGAAUGAUGAGUUUCCUUUCUCUCUCCCUCUGUUCUCCUUUUCUCUGUCCUCUCUUUCUCUGUCUCUCUCUCUCUCUUUGACCUCUUUCUCUCUCUCUGUGUCACACACACCCACAUGCACACACACACAUGCACACACAAUCUUGUACAGCUAACCUUGUGGGGAUACACAAUUCAGUUCCAUUCAAAGUUCUAUUUUCCCUAAUCCCUAAAUGAAACCCUAACCCUAACCUUAACCCAAAAACCGAACCUUAACUCUAACCCUAAAACUAACCUCAGCUCCUAACCGUAAGCCUUAACGUAAUUCUAACCCUAACACUAAUUCUAACCUUAAUCAUAAACCCCUUAGAAAUAGCAUUUGAACUUGUGGGGACAAACAAAAUAUCCACAGUUGGUCACAUUUUUGUUGUUUACAAUUCUUGUGGGGACUUCUGUUAAACACGUCCACACCCACACACACACUACAUCCCAGCGCCUGACCCUCAGCACGCCAUAAAUCUGACUUCAAGGGCGGUGUCGGCGUUGGCGAGAACAGGAUAUGAGAGCGUGGCCCUCUCAAAAUCUUCCCCUCCAGAUGAGAACAAAAUGUAGAGAAUGUUCCAGAUGCCGCGGCCGCUACAGUCUAGGAACAUGUGGAGCCAAGAGCUGGAAAACGAGCAGCCCUUCCUAUCUUUUCCCCCUUCUUUCCAUGCAUUUUCUCUCUGUUGUCUAACUUAUCCGUCUCUGUUUUUGGGCUGUUGGUAGGCUAGCUUUUUGUUUCGUACUGUUAUCUCUUUGAUAGUGUCUCCUUAUCUUGUUAUCUUGUCACUCUCCUCUUCCUUCCACUUCUGUCUAGCAUCUUAAAACACACACACACACACACAUUGAGGUAGAGACAAACACACACACACACACACACACAAACACACACACACACACACACAUUGAGGUAAACACACACACACACAUUGAGACAAACACACACACACACACAAACACACACACACACACACACAUUGAGGUAGAGACAAACAUACACACACACACACACACACAUUGAGGUAGAGACAAACACACACACACACACACACACACAUUGAGGUAGAGACAAACAAACACACACACACACACACACACACACAUUGAGGUAGAGACAAACACACACACACACACACACACAUUGAGGUAGAGACAAACACACACACACACACACACAUUGAGGUAGAGACAAACACACACACACACAAACAUACAUAUGUACAAACACACAAAGACAGAGUGACACACACACACACACACACAUUGAGGUAGAGACAAACACACACACACACACAUACAUAUGUACAAACACACAAAGACAGAGUGACACACACACACACAUCCCUCAGACAGGAUUAUCCCACUCUCACAAGUUGAUCCUCUCUGGCAAGCACUGCCAGUCCCCUCUGAGCAUGGAACAGAAGCACUACUGUCAGGGCAGAGCUGUGACCUAGAGAGUAGUAUGUCUGUGUGUGUGUGUGGGUCUCUGUUUGUGUGUGUGUAUCCCUCUGUGUGUUUGUGUGUGUGUGUCUCCCGUUGUUUGUUUGGGUGUGUCAGGUCACAGGCCAAGGUCUCCAACCUGAUCCGCUCUGAGGCAAUCGGCCUGCGAGUGCAUUAAGAGAUUGCGGGGGGGACGCCGAGCCGAGGCUCACUGGCUCGACUUAAAGACAUACACAUAAUCCUGGCUGCUCUGCUGUGGUCUGCUCCACCUGACAAGGAUAAGUGUGGCAGGUGUGUCUGUCAGGGACUGUGUGUGUGUGUGUGUGUGUGUGUGUGUGUGUGUGUGUGUGUUUGUGCGUAUCCUCUCUGAGCUGUACCCCACCUACGCCCUCUCAGGCGUGCCCCUGUCCUUGGACACCCUUACCCGCCCUAGAGUCACUUCAUCUGCCAACUGGAUAAAGAGAGAGAGAGAUAAGGAGGGGUACACAGAGAGAGGGAGAGCGAGACAGAGAGCGAGACAGAGGUAGUCAGACAGACGGAGGGAGAGAGGGAACCAGCCAGUAGAGAGACGUGACAGGACAGAGGUUACCCCACACCCUGAUGUCAUCCUUCCCAGCCUGACCACACAAAGCAUGGUCAGUUAGCUAUAGUCACAAAGCACACCAACACUUAACCAUGCAUUUAAACUAUGGACGCUUGAGAUCUGCAAGUGUACGGUAUGUGUUUAUAAGGUAUGCUACAUAAUUCCACUGUAUGUCACUUGGACUGUGUUCAUUUUGAUAAUAAAUGGAAUUGCA